AGUGGCGAACGGGUGAGUAACACGUGAGUAACCUGCCCUUGACUCUGGGAUAAGCCUGGGAAACUGGGUCUAAUACCGGAUAUGACUUUCUAUCGCAUGGUGGUUGGUGGAAAGCUUUUGCGGUUUUGGAUGGACUCGCGGCCUAUCAGCUUGUUGGUGGGGUAAUGGCCUACCAAGGCGACGACGGGUAGCCGGCCUGAGAGGGUGACCGGCCACACUGGGACUGAGACACGGCCCAGACUCCUACGGGAGGCAGCAGUGGGGAAUAUUGCACAAUGGGCGGAAGCCUGAUGCAGCGACGCCGCGUGAGGGAUGACGGCCUUCGGGUUGUAAACCUCUUUCAGUAGGGAAGAAGCGUAAGUGACGGUACCUGCAGAAGAAGCGCCGGCUAACUACGUGCCAGCAGCCGCGGUAAUACGUAGGGCGCAAGCGUUAUCCGGAAUUAUUGGGCGUAAAGAGCUCGUAGGCGGUUUGUCGCGUCUGCCGUGAAAGUCCGGGGCUCAACUCCGGAUCUGCGGUGGGUACGGGCAGACUAGAGUGAUGUAGGGGAGACUGGAAUUCCUGGUGUAGCGGUGAAAUGCGCAGAUAUCAGGAGGAACACCGAUGGCGAAGGCAGGUCUCUGGGCAUUAACUGACGCUGAGGAGCGAAAGCAUGGGGAGCGAACAGGAUUAGAUACCCUGGUAGUCCAUGCCGUAAACGUUGGGCACUAGGUGUGGGGGACAUUCCACGUUUUCCGCGCCGUAGCUAACGCAUUAAGUGCCCCGCCUGGGGAGUACGGCCGCAAGGCUAAAACUCAAAGGAAUUGACGGGGGCCCGCACAAGCGGCGGAGCAUGCGGAUUAAUUCGAUGCAACGCGAAGAACCUUACCAAGGCUUGACAUGAACCGGAAACGCCUGGAAACAGGUGCCCCACUUGUGGUCGGGUUUACAGGUGGUGCAUGGUUGUCGUCAGCUCGUGUCGUGAGAUGUUGGGUUAAGUCCCGCAACGAGCGCAACCCUCGUUCUAUGUUGCCAGCACGUGAUGGUGGGGACUCAUAGGAGACUGCCGGGGUCAACUCGGAGGAAGGUGGGGACGACGUCAAAUCAUCAUGCCCCUUAUGUCUUGGGCUUCACGCAUGCUACAAUGGCCGGUACAAAGGGUUGCGAUACUGUGAGGUGGAGCUAAUCCCAAAAAGCCGGUCUCAGUUCGGAUUGGGGUCUGCAACUCGACCCCAUGAAGUCGGAGUCGCUAGUAAUCGCAGAUCAGCAACGCUGCGGUGAAUACGUUCCCGGGCCUUGUACACACCGCCCGUCAAGUCACGAAAGUUGGUAACACCCGAAGCCGGUGGCCUAA
rnacentral:rRNA from 1 species